UUGAAGAAGCCUUCAGACUGCAGCAGGACAUUACAGCUCUUCCCUCUCUCUAACUCCCGCGGCUUACCAUGGCAACGCUCCGCGCGGCACGCACGCCACGCUCACGGGAGUUAGAGAGAGUUGGAGAGAGGGAAGAGCUGUAAUGUACUGCUGCAGUCUGCUGGGCCUCC